rnacentral:rRNA from 1 species
CGCGUAGGCGGACCGACAAGUCGGAUGUGAAAACUGGUGGCUCAACUGCCAGCCUGCAUUCGAUACUGUCGGUCUUGAGUACAGUAGAGGAAAGCGGAAUUCCAGGUGUAGCGGUGAAAUGCGUAGAUAUCUGGAAGAACACCGGUAGCGAAGGCGGCUUUCUGGGCUGAUACUGACGCUGAAGCGCGAAGGCUUGGGUAGCAAACA